rnacentral:rRNA from 1 species
CGGACGGGUGAGUAACGCGUGAGAAUCUGCCUUCAGGUUGGGGACAACAGCUGGAAACGGCUGCUAAUACCCAAUGUGCCGAGAGGUGAAAGCUUUAGUGCCUGAGGAUGAGCUCGCGUCUGAUUAGCUAGUUGGAGUGGUAAUGGCACACCAAGGCGACGAUCAGUAGCUGGUCUGAGAGGAUGAUCAGCCACACUGGGACUGAGACACGGCCCAGACUCCUACGGGAGGCAGCAGUGGGGAAUUUUCCGCAAUGGGCGCAAGCCUGACGGAGCAAUACCGCGUGAGGGAGGAAGGCUUUUGGGUUGUAAACCUCUUUUAUCAGGGAAGAAGAUCUGACGGUACCUGAUGAAUCAGCAUCGGCUAACUCCGUGUCAGCAGCCGCGGUAAUACGGAGGAUGCAAGCGUUAUCCGGAAUUAUUGGGCGUAAAGCGUCCGCAGGUGGUUAUCCAAGUCUGCUGUCAAAGCGUGGAGCUUAACUCCAUAUCGGCGGUGGAAACUGAUGAGCUAGAGUGCGAUAGGGGUAGCAGGAAUUCCCAGUGUAGCGGUGAAAUGCGUAGAGAUUGGGAAGAACACCAGCGGCGAAAGCGUGCUACUGGGUCUGCACUGACACUGAGGGACGAAAGCUAGGGGAGCGAAAAGGAUUAGAUACCCCAGUAGUC